rnacentral:rRNA from 1 species
UACGAAGGGUGCAAGCGUUACUCGGAAUCAUUGGGCGUAAAGGGUGCGUAGGCGGCGCGGUAAGUCGGGUGUGAAAUCUCGGAGCUUAACUCCGAAACUGCAUUCGAUACUGCCGUGCUUGAGGACUGGAGAGGAGACUGGAAUUUACGGUGUAGCGGUGAAAUGCGUAGAUAUCGUAAGGAAGACCAGUGGCGAAGGCGGGUCUCUGGACAGUUCCUGACGCUGAGGCACGAAGGCCAGGGGAGCAAACGGG